rnacentral:rRNA from 1 species
GACAGAGGUGCCGAGCGUUAGGCGGAAUCACUGGGCUUAAAGCGUGUGUAGGCGGGUCGUUAAGUACCUUGUGAAAUCCCCCGGCUCAACCGGGGAAUGGCUGGGUAUACUGGCGAUCUUGAGCGAUCUAGGGGCAGAUGGAACAAGUGGUGGAGCGGUGAAAUGCGUAGAUAUCACUUGGAACGCCAAAGGUGAAGACAGUCUGCUGGGGAUCUGCUGACGCUGAGACACGAAAGCCAGGGGAGCGAACGGG